rfam:Pseudomonas stutzeri A1501, complete genome.
CGGGUUUACUCCUGGUUUUUACCGUUUCGUCAGGCCGAAGCCCGACGGCGUUUUGGUGUCUGAUUCGGUACGAAUCGGGAGCACCAUCUGCGUAGGUUCAAGAGAUCACUCUCCGGGUUUAAGGCUUGCGCCACCUACGGUCUUGGAUAGCCCCCGCCAGGCAGGGACCCCAAUCUUGCGAGCCGCCUCACGAAUGAGGCGA